rnacentral:rRNA from 1 species
AAAAGUCUCUAUCGAGGUUAAAGGUACCCGUACCGCAAACCGACACAGGUGGGUGAGGAGAGUAUCCUAAGGCCAGCGAGAGAACUGUUGUUAAGGAACUCGGCAAAAUGACCCCGUAACUUAGGGAUAAGGGGUGCCACCAUCAGGUGGCCGCAGAGAAUAGGCCCAAGCGACUGUUUACCAAAAACAUAGGUUUCUGCUAAGUCGCAAGACGAUGUAUAGGAGCUGACGCCGGCCCGGUGCUGGAAGGUUAAGGGGAUCUGUUAGAGCAAUCGAAGCAGUGAACUUAAGCCCCAGUAAACGGCGGCCGUAACUAUAACGGUCCUAAGGUAGCGAAAUUCCUUGUCGGGUAAGUGCCGACCCGCACGAAAGGCGUAACGAUUUGGGCACUGUCUCAACAACAGACUCGGUGAAAUUGUAAUUCCGGUGAAGAUGCCGGAUACCUGCGACAGGACGGAAAGACCCCAUGGAGCUUUACUGUAGCUUGACAUUGGGUCUUGGUACUACAUGUACAGGAUAGGUGGGAGGCUUUGAA